rnacentral:tRNA from 1 species
GCUUGGGUGGCUCAGUUGGUUGAGUGUCUGACUUCAGCUCAGGUCAUGAUCUGAUGGUCUGUGAGUUCGAGCCCCACAUCAGGCU